UUGGAAAUAAACAGUACAAACAAGCCGUCUAGCCUGAUCUAGGUAUUCCAGCUUUGAUCAUUAAUAAGGCCAGGAAUGGUCCAAAUUAAGAAAGGCCAGGCCAGGCCGUAUGACUGAUCAAAAACUUGGGUCUGAAGAGGCUUGGCCAACCCUAAUUCAGUCCAAGCCCUUACUCUCCUCUAGAUAACAAAGGAAUGACAAAAUUACAUUGUUAAUUGUUAAUUAAUAUAGGACUUUAAAA
rnacentral:lncRNA from 1 species